AUUGAACGCUGGCGGCAGGCCUAACACAUGCAAGUCGAGCGGAUGAAGGGAGCUUGCUCCUGGAUUCAGCGGCGGACGGGUGAGUAAUGCCUAGGAAUCUGCCUGGUAGUGGGGGAUAACGUCCGGAAACGGGCGCUCAUACCGCAUACGUCCUGAGGGAGAAAGUGGGGGAUCUUCGGACCUCACGCUAUCAGAUGAGCCUAGGUCGGAUUAGCUAGUUGGUGGGGUAAAGGCCUACCAAGGCGACGAUCCGUAACUGGUCUGAGAGGAUGAUCAGUCACACUGAAACUGAGACACGGUCCAGACUCCUACGGGAGGCAGCAGUGGGGAAUAUUGGACAAUGGGCGAAAGCCUGAUCCAGCCAUGCCGCGUGUGUGAAGAAGGUCUUCGGAUUGUAAAGCACUUUAAGUUGGGAGGAAGGGCAGUAAGUUAAUACCUUGCUGUUUUGACGUUACCAACAGAAUAAGCACCGGCUAACUUCGUG
rnacentral:rRNA from 1 species